rnacentral:rRNA from 1 species
UCUUGGUCAUUUAGAGGAAGUAAAAGUCGUAACAAGGUUUCCGUAGGUGAACCUGCGGAAGGAUCAUUAUUGAAUUUUGAAAGAGGUUGUAGGUGAUCAAAAAAAGAUAUGUGCACACCUCAUUUCCAAAUUUUACACCCAUGUGCACUCUUUGUAGGCCAUUUGGCCUAUGUCUUCAUAAUACACUCUUAAAAGGUUUCAGAAUGUGAAAUGUAUAUCUUAAAUUAAUACAACUUUCAACAACGGAUCUCUUGGCUCUCGCAUCGAUGAAGAACGCAGCGAAAUGCGAUAAGUAAUGUGAAUUGCAGAAUUCAGUGAAUCAUCGAAUCUUUGAACGCACCUUGCGCUCCUUGGUAUUCCGAGGAGCAUGCCUGUUUGAGUAUCAUUAAAAUCUCAAUCCUUUGUUCAAAUUUUUUUGAUUAAAGGCUUUGGACUUUGGAGGUGUUGCUGGUCUUUCUUUAAAGUCGGCUCCUCUUAAAUGCAUUAGCUUGGACCUUUUGCAGAUAAGCUUUAGUUUGAUAAAUAUCUAUGCUAAUUGUCUUUGAAGCAACAAAUGCCAGCUUCCAAUUGAACUUGCUUUAUUGCAAUUCCUUUCUUAAGCUGAUCUCAUCUC